rnacentral:rRNA from 1 species
AGUCACUGACAUUAGACUACCCCUGUAGUCCCAGCCGUAAACUAUGCGCGUUAGGUGUAUCGGUGACCACGAGUUACCGAGGUGCCGAAGGGAAACCGUGAAACGUGCCGCCUGGGAAGUACGGUCGCAAAGCUGAAACUUAAAGGAAUUGGCGGGGAGCACCACAACAGGUGGAGCCUGCGGUUUAAUUGGACUCAACGCCGGGAAGCUCACCGGAUAGGACAGCAGAAUGAUUGCCGGGCUGAAGACCCUGCAUGACUAGCUG